UAAGAUGACUGAUAUAAGUGGUGGAUUGUAGCUCCAUAUAUAAAGGUUUAAGCCCUUUUCUUAC
rnacentral:tRNA from 1 species